rnacentral:rRNA from 1 species
UACGAAGGGGGCGAGCGUUGUUCGGAUUUACUGGGCGUAAAGGGCGCGCAGGCGGCUCAUCAAGUCAGGCGUGAAAUCCCCGGGCUCAACCUGGGAACUGCAUUCAAAACUGACAAGCUAGAGUAUGGUAGAGGGUGGUGGAAUUUCCUGUGUAGCGGUGAAAUGCGUAGAUAUAGGAAGGAACACCAGUGGCGAAGGCGACCACCUGGACUGAUACUGACACUGAGGUGCGAAAGCGUGGGGAGCAAACAGG